rnacentral:tRNA from 1 species
UCCCCGAUAGCUCAAUGGUAGAGCGCCCGGCUGUUAACCGGGUGGUUGUAGGUUAGAGUCCUACUCGGGGAGCCA